GAUUAACGCUGGCGGCGUGCCUAACACAUGCAAGUCGAGCGGCAGCGAGUUUUACACUGAAUUCUGGAAGCUUCUAGUUGAAAGAGAAGAUUUAUUCAAGAAUUUUGUGUAAAAUGUCGGCGAGCGGCGGACGGCUGAGUAACGCGUGGGAACGUACCCCAAAGUGAGGGAUAACGCAUCGAAAGGUGUGCUAAUACCGCAUAUGGUCUUCGGAUUAAAGCCUUCGGGCGCUUUGGGAACGGCCUGCGUAAGAUUAGAUAGUUGGUGGGGUAAUGGCCUACCAAGUCGACGAUCUUUAACUGGUUUGAGAGGAUGAUCAGUCAGACUGGAACUGAGACACGGUCCAGACUCCUACGGGAGGCAGCAGUGAGGAAUCUUCCACAAUGGGCGAAAGCCUGAUGGAGCAACGCCGCGUGCAGGAUGAAGGCCUUCGGGUUGUAAACUGCUUUUAUAAGUGAGGAUUAUGACAGUACUUAUGAAUAAGGAUCGGCUAACUACGUG
rnacentral:rRNA from 1 species